AUACGAAUGGGGCAAGCGUUGUUCGGAAUCACUGGGCUUAAAGCGUGCGCAGGCGGUCUUAUAAGUCAGGAGUGAAAUCCCGGGGCUCAACCCCGGAAUUGCUUCUGAAACUGCAAGACUAGAAUAUGGGAGAGGUUAGCAGAAUUCCGAGUGUAGAGGUGAAAUUCGCAGAUAUUCGGAGGAAUACCAGUGGCGAAGGCGGCUAACUGGACCAUUAUUGACGCUCAGGCACGAAAGCGUGGGGAGCAAACAGGAUUAGAUACCCUGGUAGUCCACGCUGUAAACGAUGUGUGCUAGUUGUCGGGGCCUUUAGGUCUCGGUGACAAAGCGAAAGCAUUAAGCACACCGCCUGGGGAGUACGGUCGCAAGAUUAAA
rnacentral:rRNA from 1 species